UGAACUGGAACUGCUGAGUGAAUUAGGUAGUUUCAUGUUGUUGGGCCUGGAUUUCUGAACACAACGACAUUAAACCACCCGACUCACGGCAGUUACUGCUCC
ensembl:miRNA